GACUGACUGAAUGCGCGUGCGGCUCUUGCCGUGCAUGCGCAUUCAGCUGAUGGCGUCCAAAGGAGGAGGAGAGUCCCCAGCGCCGAGGGAGCCUGGCGCUGGAGAAAGGUAAGUGUUUAACCCCUUCCUCCAACUUCAGCCCGGCGGGGGGAGGAGGACCCUGAGGGUGGGGGCACCCUCAGGGCACUAUAGUGCCAGGAAAACGAGUUUGUUUUCCUGGCACUAU